rnacentral:piRNA from 1 species
UUGUAGGAUCAUAAUUGAAUGAUGGAAAGC